UCUACUCGCGCCACUUUCGCAAUCUUACUACGAUUCCCAAAAUCCUAGCAAAUCAUAAUAGUAGCACAUGGUUGUGCACUUUUUGGAGGGGGUUACACGUCUUAGCCGAUGUUUAAUCUGUGAAGUCUGUGUUCUUUUUUUUAAAUUUUGCAGAUGUCCAAGAAACUGGGUAAACGAACCCCAUUCACAUCUGUCUCCUGGGCAGUCGUCACUGUGGCUUUAAAGGCACAGUAAUGCAGUCUGUGAGGAGAACGUCACACGAGCAGUUUACAGUCACUGUAGUGCCAAAGUGCUUACAGUGCAGGUAGUUUUGUUCAAUUCUACUGCAGUGAAGGCACUUUCAGCACUCUUCUGAUAAUAUUAACUGAAGGAAGCUGACUUGUUCAUAAACACAGCCUUUAUGUUGCAAGUCCUAAGUAGACUGAAUCCACAUACACUUGUAAAUAGACAUCUGGCAAGACCUUGUCGUCUUGCUGUGAGGCUCAGCCCCCUGAUGUUCUGGAGCAAAGCAGCUGUGUAAGAAGCAAACAUGCUAAAUGGUUGUUAGAUGUUGUAUAUCACUGUGGAAAAGUGCACAGAAUUGGAGCAGCUGCUGAUUUGUUUUUGUAUUUUUAUUUGACUUUAUGUAUGAGGAGAGGAGUCUUAAAAAAUUGUUACCUGGCAAAAUGUGACUACUACUAGUACUUAUGCUAAGGUGCAUCUAGUGCAGAUAGUGAAGUAGACUAGCACCUACUGCCCUAAGUGCUCCUUCUGGCAUAAGGGGCUGGGACUCUCAUCUGCCAUGUAUCUCUGUAUGCAUACAUGUGAGAGUGAGAGUUUGGGUUUUUUGAAGUAUAUUUGCAUGGACACUCUUAAUCUUAAUUGUGGCUGUCCUCCGUUAGUUUUGCGUAGUUGCGCUGCAAGAAGAAAUAAGUUGUGCAAAUCUAUGCAAAACUGACGGUGGCCUGCGUUUCCAUCCAAAUCCUCUUUGCGCAUCGUCUAUGAAAGAACAGUCACAGUCUGGUUUCCAGUGCACCUCUGUCAAUAAUGUAAAGACAAGGUUUCAGUAGUAUUAAAGUGCUUAUAGUGCAGGUAGUCUUCUUACUGUUUAAAUUCUACUGCAAUGUGAGCACUUCAAGUACUCCUAGACUACGUCGUCUUGGGAAAACUGCAGGGGUAGCUUAUGCACGUGGGUCUCUGGUUAGUUUUGCUGGUUUGCUUUCAGCUUUUAAAUGUACUGCUGUGCAAAUCCAUGCAAAACUGAUCAUAGAACUGAAAAUAAUCUAUCAGAAGUGAUCCCUUUCUGUGCAGGUUGGGAGAGGUGGCAAUGCUCUGUGCUUGUGUGGUAUUGCACUUGUCCCGGCCUGUUGAGGACACUGGGAAUUGUUCUGCAAGUUCUCCCAGGAUACUUUCUUAAAAUCUGAAUUUGAUUAUAAUCUGUUUUUUUUUUUUGUUUGUUUUGUUUUCUAUGCGCACCUAUUCCUAACAAGCUUUUAAAUGUAGGUCACUUGAGAGUUGAGGAAAUUUCUUGCUUAGAGCACCUUGUCAUAUAUCUAAGGAAAUAUUUACUGUAUGCAAUGUAAAUACAAUAAUUUAUGAAUAAAUACUUAAAUGAC